UACGAAGGGGGGCUAGCGUUGCUCGGAAUUACUGGGCGUAAAGCGUGCGCAGGCGGCUUUGCAAGACAGAUGUGAAAUCCCCGGGCUCAACCUGGGAACUGCAUUUGUGACUGCAUGGCUAGAGUACGGUAGAGGGGGAUGGAAUUCCGCGUGUAGCGGUGGAAUGCGUAGAGAUCUGGAAGAACACCGGUGGCGAAGGCGGUGGUCUGGGCCGUUACUGACGCUGAGGCACGAAAGCGUGGGUAGCAAACAGG
rnacentral:rRNA from 1 species